rnacentral:rRNA from 1 species
ACCCUUUAAUGUUUGAUGUUCUAACGUAGCCCCGUUAUCCGGGGUGCGGACAGUGUCUGGUGGGUAGUUUGACUGGGGCGGUCUCCUCCCAAAGAGUAACGGAGGAGCACGAAGGUUGGCUAAGCAUGGUCGGACAUCAUGCGGUUAGUGCAAAGGCAUAAGCCAGCUUGACUGCGAGAGUGACGGCUCGAGCAGGUACGAAAGUAGGUCUUAGUGAUCCGGUGGUUCUGAAUGGAAGGGCCAUCGCUCAACGGAUAAAAGGUACUCCGGGGAUAACAGGCUGAUACCGCCCAAGAGUUCAUAUCGACGGCGGUGUUUGGCACCUCGAUGUCGGCUCAUCACAUCCUGGGGCUGAAGUAGGUCCCAAGGGUACGGCUGUUCGCCGUUUAAAGUGGUACGCGAGCUGGGUUUAGAACGUCGUGAGACAGUUCGGUCCCUAUCUGCCGUGGGCGUUGGAAGAUUGAAAGGGGCUGCUCCUAGUACGAGAGGACCGGAGUGGACGCACCACUGGUGUUCGGGUUGUCAUGCCAAUGGCAUUGCCCGGUAGCUAAGUGCGGAAGAGAUAACCGCUGAAAGCAUCUAAGCGGGAAACUUGCCUUGAGAUG